CUUAAUAGAGAUUAUUAUUAAUUAUUUUUCAUAUUUUGAAAAAAUAUCUGAAAGACUCAGUUCUUCAUUUCCGGGUAGAUAUAGGGAUUUUUGAAUUGGUAAGGCUUUUUAUUUGGGUUUUAGUUUAAGUUUACUUUAGCUGGAAAUUUCUGUUUUGAUUUCUCCUCAUUACGAUCU